CUAGUUAUAAUUGUUGUGGGGUUGUCCCUGCUAUCUUUUUUUUUUUUUUUCCUGAUUAUGAUGGGUGAUGAAGGGGGCAACGAUGGUGGCUUCUUAGGAUAGAGUAUUUUUUCUUUUCUUUUUUUUAGCAAAAAUGUUUUUUUAUCUAGUUUCUUUGUUUUCUCUAUGUUUUCUUUGUGUGUUCUUUCAUGAUUUUUUUUUUGUGUUUUAGUUUUCAUAGGCUACUCCCAUCUAAAUAUUUUUAUAUCUCUUUAGUUUUCUCUCUCUUUUUUUCUAUGGUUUCUUUCCUCAUGUUUUUUUUAUGCCGUCAUCCUUUUCUAUGUACCUAGUGUGGCUUAUUUAUAAGUCAUUCAUCUAAAUAUUUUUAUAUCUCUCUAGUUUUCUCUCUCUUUUUUUCUAUGGUUUCUUUCCUCGUGUUUUUUUAUGCCGUCAUCCUUUUAUAUGUACCUAGUGUGGCUUAUUUAUAAGUCGUUCCUUGUUUAUCCUCCCAACUCUUCUUAUCACUCAUCUUCCUUUUAUUUUUAUCUCUGAAUAUCUUCCUUUCUUCUUUAUCCUAUACUUGUGAAAAAAGACAUAAACUCUUAAGUCUUUUUUUU
rnacentral:lncRNA from 1 species